rnacentral:rRNA from 1 species
CAGCCGCCACGGUAAUACAGAGGAUGCAAGCGUUAUCCGGAAUGAUUGGGCGUAAAGGGCUCGCAGGCGGUUUCUUAAGUCUGAUGUGAAAGCCCCCGGCUCAACCGGGGAGGGUCAUUGGAAACUGGGAAACUUGAGUGCAGAUGAGGAGAGUGGAAUUCCACGUGUAGCGGUGAAACGCGUAGAGAUGUGGAGGAACACCAGUGGCGAAGGCGACUCUCUGGUCUGUAACUGACGCUGAGGAGCGAAAGCGUGGGGAGCGAACAGGAUUAGAGACCCCUGUAGUCCCUGUCUCUUAUAU